rnacentral:tRNA from 1 species
GCCCUAGUAGCUUAAAUCUAAAGCGCUGGUCUUGUAAACCAGAAAUGAAACGUACUCUCCUAGGACA